UUGCUUCAGUAGCACAUUUACAAAAAAUUGGAACAAAACAGAAAUUAGUGGCCCCUGAACAGGGAUGAUACCCAAAUUUCUGAAAUGUUCCAUAUUUUU
ensembl:snRNA U6 U6 spliceosomal RNA